CAGUCGCCGCGGGAAUACGUAGGGUCCGAGCGUUGUCCGGAAUUACUGGGCGUAAAGAGCUCGUAGGUGGUUUGUCGCGUUGUUCGUGAAAACUCACAGCUCAACUGUGGGCGUGCGGGCGAUACGGGCAGACUAGAGUACUGCAGGGGAGACUGGAAUUCCUGGUGUAGCGGUGAAAUGCGCAGAUAUCAGGAGGAACACCGGUGGCGAAGGCGGGUCUCUGGGCCGAUAUUGACGCUGAGGAGCGAAAGCGUGGGGAGCAAACAGGAUUAGAUACCCCCGUAGUCCCUGUCUCUUAUAU
rnacentral:rRNA from 1 species